GAAUGCUGACAUAAGUAACGAUAAAGCGGGUGAAAAGCCCGCUCGCCGGAAGACCAAGGGUUCCUGUCCAACGUUAAUCGGGGCAGGGUGAGUCGACCCCUAAGGCGAGGCCGAAAGGCGUAGUCGAUGGGAAACGGGUUAAUAUUCCCGUACUUGGUGUUACUGCGAAGGGGGGACGGAGAAGGCUAUGUUGGCCGGGCGACGGUUGUCCCGGUUUAAGCGUGUAGGUGUGUGUUCCAGGUAAAUCCGGUUCACUUUAACACUGAGGCGUGACGACGAGGCACUACGGUGCUGAAGCAACAAAUGCCCUGCUUCCAGGAAAAGCCUCUAAGCAUCAGGUAACAUCAAAUCGUACCCCAAACCGACACAGGUGGUCAGGUAGAGAAUACCAAGGCGCUUGAGAGAACUCGGGUGAAGGAACUAGGCAAAAUGGUGCCGUAACUUCGGGAGAAGGCACGCUGACACGUAGGUGAAGUGAUUUACUCAUGGAGCUGAAGUCAGUCGAAGAUACCAGCUGGCUGCAACUGUUUAUUAAAAACACAGCAC
rnacentral:rRNA from 1 species